AUGAAGCAAAAGAUUGUCAUCCAGUUGAGCAUGUCGUGCGAUAAAAGCCGGUCGAAAGCACUGACGCUGGCCGCCAAAGCAGCCGGGGUGACGUCCAUGGGGAUAACCGGAGACGCCAGGGACCAGCUGGAGGUGGUCGGCGACGGCGUCGACCCGGUGUGCCUUGUCUGCUCCCUCCGCAAGAAGCUCGGCCACGCCCAAAUCGUCAAGGUGGAGGAAGUGAAGAAACCGGAGGAGAAGAAGAAGGAUGAGCCGAAGCCGGCCGUGCCUGAGCCCGUGAACCCGCCGCCGUACUUCUUCUACCCGCCCAGCUCCUACUACCAUCACCAGUACCCGCUGUACUUCUGA
rnacentral:rRNA from 1 species